CUAAUCAGGAAGUAGGCGCGCGAGCCAGCUGUGGUGAGGAGCAGUUGGGUCUGUGGCGGAGGUUCGGUUCGGUUCUGUUCUGUUCAUGCCGGAAUCAAAAUGGUGUCUCUGAUAUGCACUGUACAAGGCCAUCGUGAUGACGUGAACUGCUGCGCAUUCUCCGCUUCGCUUCUCGCCACGUGCUCAGCAGAUAAAACUGUCCGAGUCUACUCCACCCGAGACUUCUCCGAGCUCUCGUUCUCACCGCUCUCGGGCCACGGCUAUGGGGUCCACUGCUGCUGCUUCAGCCCCUGCGGCCAGUACUUGGCAUCCUGUUCCACCGACGCCACCACGGUGGUAUGGGCGAUGGGCAGCGGGGAGAUCGAGGCCGUGCUCGAGCAUCCGGGCAGGAGUCCGGUCAGGGUGUGUGCCUUCUCACCCACCUCCUCAUAUCUGAUUUCGGGCGCUUCAGACGGCACCGUGGCUCUGUGGGACUUCACGUCCAGAACUCUGCUCAGGACCGGCACCGUUCCUGACACCAUGAUAGUCGCAUGUUCCUUCAGCCCCUGCAGUCAGCUGUUUGCUACAGGCUCCUCGUAUGGAGACCUCCGUAUCUGGGACCUGGGCAUGAACCAGCUCCACACGGAGAAGUACGCCCAUGACCUUGGGGUCACCUGCUGCCAAUUUGCACCACAGAUGGGUAUGAGGAACACUGAAAGCGAUGAGGCAGGCUGUGUGGUCCAGUUCCGUUUGGCCUCCUGUGGUCAGGACAGCUUGCUGAAGAUCUGGCUGGUUUCGCAGAGCUUUUCUAGAGGUUGUAAGAUGCAGCUGGUACACACACUGUCAGGUCAGUCAUCUGCAGUCCUGUGCUGCUGUUACUCCGCAGACGGACAGCUUCUAGCCUCUGGGUCUAUGGAUAAGACGGUUGCAGUUUACGAAGCAAAAGGUGGAGUCUUACUUUAUACCUUGAGCCAGCAUGAGAGGUAUGUGACAGCGUGCGCGUUCUCCCCGACUGUCCCUCUACUAGCCACCGGCUCCAUGGACAAAACAGUGAAGGUGUGGAGGGUGGAGGACGGCUGCAGCACUCAGGGUGCUGGACCUGAUGGCAAAUCUCUUCCAGAUGAAGUCCCUUCCAGCUCCCUUGAAGCAGGCAGGAAGUGGCCGUGUCACUCCAGGCUGCUGGUGAACGAUUGGUCAGAGGAUGAUGUGUCGUCAUGGUUACGGGAGGUAGGACUGGAGAGCCUCGUCCAGACGUUUAAAGCCAAUAAUAUUGACGGAGCAGAACUGCUCAUGCUGAACAAGGAGAGCCUCAGCUCGGAGCUUCAUAUAGAGUCACUGGGUUUGCGCAGUAAAAUUUUACGGAUGAUAGAGGAGCUGAAGAUGGCACCGGUGUCCGACGGCAUUCCUGAUGAGUUCCUCUGCCCCAUCACGCACGAGGUCAUGAAGGACCCGGUGAUUGCUGCAGAUGGCUACUCGUACGAGCGGGAGGCUAUUGAAAGCUGGAUCAAGACACAGAGCCGCUCCAGCCCUAUGACCAACCUGCCACUGCAGACCACGCUGCUCACCCCCAACCGCACGCUCAAAAUGGCCAUCUGCCGCUGGACCAGCAGCCAGUGAUCAGCCACGCCUCGAACACUCUCUCACGGAACAUCCUGCUUCCCCCACAGCGCUUGAGCAGAGUAAUUAACGCUGUAACAGCUCUGAAUCCAGGUAUGCUGGGACCUUAGUACAAAAACACGGGCUCGACAUCAUUCUGUCCUCGUCUAGACACCUGCUUAAAACGUGAAACUACACACAGGUAAAAGAUUAAUGAUGAACAUUAGAUUUACCUCUCAGUAUAAACUUGAUCCAGUUUUUACUGAUUUCAGAAGUGGAGUGUUAUUACGCGUCAGCUCUAAUGGGAAAACAGCACAUGCUUUAGCAGAGUGACGACAACUGAAGUGUUGCGGCUGCCGAUGGCGCGGUCGAGGGGCCGCAUGCCGCUGUAGUCCAUGUGCUCGAUCACAGCACCGCGUUCCACCAGGUGUACAAACUUCUGCACCACAGCCAGUCAUGUCAUGGUGUGUGAAGUGUAAGAUAUUUUUUUGUCUGUAUUCUCUACGCACAAUGUCGGCAUCUCCAUAAAACGCAGCGAGAUCGAGAGGAGUGCGUCCGUGUUUAUCCGUGUGAUCGAUCUGCGCGCCUCUCUCCACCAGCAGCUCCACAACGCUCUUCUGGCCCUUCAGACACGCCCAGCUCAACGGCGUCAGGCCCUCCUUAUCCACCGCCGUCAUGCAUGCCCCUGCAUCUCACACACACAUGAAAAAUCAUAAACAUGCCACCUCUGGGACGGUCUCUGUGUAUCUGAGGUCAGCAGACUCACCCUGCGACAGAAGGAAGUCCACAGUGGUCACGUGACCUUCGCUGGCCGCAACCAUCAGCAGUGAGCGGCCAUGUUUGUCGGAGACGUCCACCUCGGCGCCGUGGUGCAGCAAAAGUUCUACCACCUGACCGGAGGAAACCGGAAACACGACUGUGACUCACUGUGUUUCAUGAACAUGUUGCUUGUUUUAAAAUAUGAUUUCCGUUAUACGAUUAAAAGCAUUAAGAAGAAAAAAA